CUACGGGGUGCAGCAGUGGGGAAUAUUGCGCAAUGGAGGCAACUCUGACGCAGCCAUGCCGCGUGCAGGAAGAAGGCCUUAUGGGUCGUAAACUGCUUUUAUUUAGGAAUAAACCCCCGAACGUGUUCGGGGCUGAAGGUACUAAACGAAUAAGCACCGGCUAACUCCGUGCCAGCAGCCGCGGUAAUACGGAGGGUGCAAGCGUUAUCCGGAUUUAUUGGGUUUAAAGGGUGCGCAGGCGGGCUAUUAAGUCAGUGGUGAAAUCCCGGGGCUCAACUCCGGAACUGCCAUUGAUACUGAUAGUCUUGAGUUUGGUUGAAGUGGGCGGAAUGUAGCAUGUAGCGGUGAAAUGCAUAGAUAUGCCACAGAACACCAAUCGCGAAGGCAGCUCACUAAGCCAAAACUGACGCUCAUGCACGAAAGCGUGGGGAUCAAACAGGAUUAGAUACCCUAGUAGUC
rnacentral:rRNA from 1 species